UGAGGAAUAUUGGUCAAUGGUCGCAAGACUGAACCAGCCAUGCCGCGUGCAGGAAGACGGUCCUAUGGAUUGUAAAACUGCUUUUAUACAGGAAGAAAACCCCUCCCACGUGUGGGAGCUUGACGGUACUGUAGGAAUAAGGAUCGGCUAACUCCGUGCCAGCAGCCGCGGUAAUACGGAGGAUCCAAGCGUUAUCCGGAAUCAUUGGGUUUAAAGGGUCCGUAGGCGGUNUUAUAAGUCAGUGUGAAAGCCCAUCGCUCAACGAUGGAACUGCCAUUGAUACUGUAAGACUUGAAUGCUUAGGAAGUAACUAGAAUAUGUAGUGUAGCGGUGAAAUGCUUAGAUAUUACAUGGAAUACCAAUUGCGAAGGCAGGUUACUACUAAGUGAUUGACGCUGAUGGACGAAAGCGUGGGAGCGAACAGGAUUAGAUACCCUGGUAGUCCACGCCGUAAAACGAUGGAUACUAGCUGUUCGGCGCAAGUUGAGUGGCUAAGCGAAAGUGAUAAGUAUCCCACCUGGGGAAGUACGCACGCAAGUGUGAAACUCAAAGGAAUUGACGGGGUC
rnacentral:rRNA from 1 species